rnacentral:rRNA from 1 species
AGCUCAAAUUUGAAAUCCCCCCGGGGAGUUGUAAUUUGAAGAUUGCGUCUUGGAGGCGACCGUGUCUAUGUUCCUUGGAACAGGACGUCACAGAGGGUGAGAAUCCCGUGCGGCACGGCCCCCGGCUCCUUAUAAGGCGCUCUCGACGAGUCGAGUUGUUUGGGAAUGCAGCUCAAAGUGGGUGGUAAAUUCCAUCUAAAGCUAAAUACAGGCGAGAGACCGAUAGCGAACAAGUACAGUGAUGGAAAGAUGAAAAGCACUUUGAAAAGAGAGUGAAACAGCACGUGAAAUUGUUGAAAGGGAAGGGCAUGCCGUCAGAUUGUCAGUGUGGGUAAGAAGCGGGGUACAAAGACUGUGGAACGUGGCCCUCGGGUGUUAUAGCCGCAGUUCAUGCCCCGUCUCUUUCCGAGGCCUGCUUUGAGGACACCGACGUAAUGACGGUACGCCGCCCGUCUUGAAACACGGACCA